rnacentral:rRNA from 1 species
UACGUAGGGUGCGAGCGUUGUCCGGAAUUACUGGGCGUAAAGAGCUCGUAGGUGGUUUGUCGCGUUGUUCGUGAAAACUCACAGCUUAACUGUGGGCGUGCGGGCGAUACGGGCAGACUGGAGUACUGCAGGGGAGACUGGAAUUCCUGGUGUAGCGGUGGAAUGCGCAGAUAUCAGGAGGAACACCGGUGGCGAAGGCGGGUCUCUGGGCAGUAACUGACGCUGAGGAGCGAAGGCGUGGGGAGCAAACAGG